rnacentral:lncRNA from 1 species
UGUCUAUCUUCUAUGCUUCAAUCUGAAGGACCAAAAUUUAUAUUCAUAAAGAGAACUUAGACAUUGCAUAACAAUUUAAUCAACUUUAAAUAUCCAUAAUCAAUCAAGAUCCAAAUUCUACCCUACUCUCACUAACCUAAGUUCUCAUGAUCUUUAGCCUAAGCUCAAUACCAUUUUGUCACACUCUAAAUCCAGUAUCCAAAUUGGGUACGUGAUGGUUGCACACUCCUUAAAAAAGAUCUUAAAAAAUAUGUCAGGUCAAGCAUAUUUUUUAGAGUCUUGCCCUAAGGAGUGUGCGGCCAUCACGUGCCUAAUUUGGAUGCUAGAUUUGGGGCGUGAUACUAUAUACUUUGCCUGAUGUGGA